ensembl:snoRNA
CUCCUUUCGUAGUUCAUAAGUGUGAUGAUUGGGUGUUCAUGAUUGUGUGUGCGAUGUGCCUCCCUCUAAACCUUUUUCACAUGAAA